UAGGGAAUCUUCGGCAAUGGACGAAAGUCUGACCGAGCAACGCCGCGUGAGUGAAGAAGGUUUUCGGAUCGUAAAACUCUGUUGUUAGAGAAGAACAAGGACGUUAGUAACUGAACGUCCCCUGACGGUAUCUAACCAGAAAGCCACGGCUAACUACGUGCCAGCAGCCGCGGUAAUACGUAGGUGGCAAGCGUUGUCCGGAUUUAUUGGGCGUAAAGCGAGCGCAGGCGGUUUCUUAAGUCUGAUGUGAAAGCCCCCGGCUCAACCGGGGAGGGUCAUUGGAAACUGGGAGACUUGAGUGCAGAAGAGGAGAGUGGAAUUCCAUGUGUAGCGGUGAAAUGCGGAGAUAUAUGGAGGAACACCAGUGGCGAAGGCGGCUCUCUGGUCUGUAACUGACGCUGAGGCUCGAAAGCGUGGGGAGCAAACAGG
rnacentral:rRNA from 1 species